GAUGAACGCUGGCGGCGUGCCUAAUACAUGCAAGUCGAGCGAACAGACGAGGAGCUUGCUCCUCUGACGUUAGCGGCGGACGGGUGAGUAACACGUGGAUAACCUACCUAUAAGACUGGGAUAACUUCGGGAAACCGGAGCUAAUACCGGAUAAUAUAUUGAACCGCAUGGUUCAAUAGUGAAAGACGGUUUUGCUGUCACUUAUAGAUGGAUCCGCGCCGCAUUAGCUAGUUGGUAAGGUAACGGCUUACCAAGGCGACGAUGCGUAGCCGACCUGAGAGGGUGAUCGGCCACACUGGCACUGAGACACGUUCCAGACUCCUACGGGAGGCAGCAGUAGGGAAUCUUCCGCAAUGGGCGAAAGCCUGACGGAGCAACGCCGCGUGAGUGAUGAAGGUCUUCGGAUCGUAAAACUCUGUUAUUAGGGAAGAACAAAUGUGUAAGUAACUAUGCACGUCUUGACGGUACCUAAUCAGAAAGCCACGGCUAACUACGUG
rnacentral:rRNA from 1 species